GUGUUCUUACCUUGCUGUUGUGAAGCAGAUGGCAUGUUAGUAAAUCCUUUAGGAAAAAUUGGUAACAGCAGGACACUUUCGCCUGUAAGUGCGCCGUUGCCAGUUGACCGUUGGAGGCCAAUAAAUUCGCUAGCGUUAGCUGGCUAACAGCGUGUAGCAGCGGAGGCUAACAUUAGCAGCAGAGAGAACAGCACUAACGCGGUUAUUUCCUCUGGAAAGUCGUCCCGAAGCGCCAUGUUCAGGCUUAUUAAAUACCACAGAAGCAACAGUGUCAAGAUGACCUUUUUCAGUUGAUGGAUGCCAAAGUUACAGUGAUCUCUUGUGGACUGGCAGUGACUUUUAACAUCCGAUGUGACAGCUAGAUUUUCUGAUUAUUCAGAGUACAUCAAGAGCCUGUCAAGGUCAGUAUUUCACAUUUCUUCCUGAAGACCGCUUCAUACCAGCCAGAUUCAGCUUUUUCUGGAUCCAUAUCAUCAUGCGCCCAGUCGAUGGUUCCUGCUAGUGUAGGAACAUGGGUAGCACCACAGGGAGAAUGACCUUUUCAGCCAUGUGUCACCUGCCCAUGAUGCUCCAGGUGGUCCUCUCAGCAUAGCGUGUCUGAAUGUCUAUGUCAUGAUGCUCCAGUGAAGCAACACUGAAGGAAAUAGGAUCACAGCAAAGUAUUAGACUCAAGCACACACACACACAUUCACAGAUACGCUUUUAUUUUAUUUUUAUUCAUCUGCAGUUGGCAAGUGUUUGGUUUAAAGAGAAGGCAUUUAGACAGUUGGUAUUAAAGCUGCACAAGGCGAAAGUUGGCAGCACAAAGACAGGCAAAAUAUCAAACCUUGGUGAGGCCAGCUCAAUGUGGAAAGAACAAUCCUUCUACUGUUCAGGAAAAAGUUUGCUCUUUUAUAUGAUUAAUUAAUUAUUGGUAGAACCAUUCACAAUAGGUUAUAAGCUGACACUAUCAAGAAUUAUCAGAUGCUCUGAGAAGUGUUUGAAGUCGCAAGAAACCAAAUUCAUAUUUACCCCUUUAAAGCAUCAAUGAUUUUUUGUUGUUUGCCUUUGGGUUUGAUUAUCAGGACAUUGAAAGCUAACGGCCACUUUUCUCUGUUGUGAAACAGUUCUGAUGCAGAUCCAAUUUGUUUUUAGUAGGGCACAUUUUUUGUUAUUUAAAUCUUUUUUGUUUUAACCAUGAAUCUUACUUUUAGAUUUACUGCCAGGGGACAUCACCCACACAAAGACCUUUAGCUGUUGUAGCGGCGAAUCCAGUGGUCUAACUGCAACACUUUUGAACACAAGACUAAAUGUAACUGUCAUCCUGUUGUUUUAUUUGCAAAAAUACAAUGCAUCCAAAAAUUGUAUUAGCAAUAAACAUAUUAAAAAAUA